GCUUGUCUCAAAGAUUAAGCCAUGCAUGUCUAAGUGUAAAUACGUCUACACUGUGAAACUGCGAAUGGCUCAUUAAAUCAGUUAUCGUUUAUUUGAUGAUCUCUUGUUACAUGGAUAACCGUAGUAAUUCUAGAGCUAAUACAUGCGUCAAGCCCCGACUCACGAAGGGGUGUAUUUAUUAGAUGGAAACCAAUGCGGGGCAACCCGGAAUAUGGUGAAUCAUAAUAACUGUCGUAUCGAGCAAUCGAAGCGCCAUACAAGUUUCUGCCCUAUCAGCUUUGGAUGGUAGGGUAUUGGCCUACCAUGGCUUUAACGGGUAACGGAGAAUUAGGGUUCGAUUCCGGAGAGGGAGCCUGAGAAACGGCUACCACAUCCAAGGAAGGCAGCAGG
rnacentral:rRNA from 1 species